AAUUUUGGACAAUGGGGGAAACCCUGAUCCAGCCAUCCCGCGUGUAUGAUGAAGGCCUUCGGGUUGUAAAGUACUUUUGGCAGAGAAGAAAAGGUAUCUCCUAAUACGAGAUACUGCUGACGGUAUCUGCAGAAUAAGCACCGGCUAACUACGUGCCAGCAGCCGCGGUAAUACGUAGGGUGCAAGCGUUAAUCGGAAUUACUGGGCGUAAAGCGGUUGUAGGCGUUCCGGAAGGAAAGUGUUGAAACCCAAGGGCUAACCCUUGAACUUGCAUUUUUAACUGCCGAGUUGGAGUAGGUAAGAGGGGGUAGAAUUCCACGUGUAGCAGUGAAAUGCGUAGAUAUGUGGAGGAAUACCGAUGGCGAAGGCAGCCCCCUGGGAUAAUACUGACGCUCAGACACGAAAGCGUGGGGAGCAAACAGG
rnacentral:rRNA from 1 species